GAGAAUCACUUGAGCCCAGUAGUUCCAGAUUACAGUGAGUCAUAAUCAUGCCACUGCACUCCAGCCUGGAUGACAGAGUGGGAACCUGUCUCUAAAAAACAAAACACAACACAGGACAUUUGCAGGGAAUUAUUCUUUAUCCUCCAGCACUAAAAACUGCUUUCCGGGCUGAGCUCUCAAGUAAGGAAGCAGAUGCUCGAAGACAGUGCUAUUUCCUGGGCUGGGAUUGUGCUACGGGUGCUGUCACCCAGAAAUCAUUCUUGGGUGUUACAGUGGGUGAGGGAGACAGCGUAGGCCCAAUUUCAGCCUGCAGCUCUAGGGAACAGAGACCACUGCCACCUAUACUUCUCUACUCACUUGCCUUGUUCCCUGAAGUUUCUCUGGCAGAUGGGUGAUUGGGUGGGGAGAGGAGGAUGCCACUUGCCCGGGGGCUUCUUGCCAGGAACUGAAGAAACACCAGGAGGAAGAACAACAAUCGGAGAAAAAGCUCCAGCCACCUAAGAAGUCAAAUGUGCCGCAACAACCAGUGGCGAAAUUGUGGACAUCACGGGAGCAACGACGGCCAUCACAGCAGCAGCCAUCGGUGCAGCCAACAUCGCAGCCACCACCACAGCCAUCACCACAGCCAUCACCAUUGCCACAGGCACAGGCGCAGGCACAGGUGUGGCCAGGGCCACAGCCACCACAACCACAGCCACCACCUCAGCCAACACAACCAAGUGCUCAAGCCUGUUGUACUCAGCACGCCUCCAAAUGCAAUCUCCAAGAUUCCCAAAGGCCAGGUCUCAUGAACCCAUGCCAAUCUAGCCCCAUCAAAAACACUGGGUAUUCACAACUCAAGUCUACCAACUACAUACAGCAGUGGUGACCCAGAGAUUGAAUCCGAGACCCCAGUGGCCAUCCCCAAAAUGCAGAUGAGCAGCCACAUCUUCUCAGCAUCCAGCAACAUCUCCACUUCAAAAGCCACCCACUCUAGAAGAGGUGGCUGCCAGGAAUAAAACGCUUUCAGAUGAGAGCACCUGGGCCCACCGUUUGACCUGCCUGUGUCUACUCACAUGGGCUCAGGAUAUGGACUUACAGGCUCUCCUUCAAUAAAUAUCUUAUACAAUGA